GCCGCUAUGGCUCAAUGGUAGAGCAACGCACUUGUAAUGCGUAGGUUGUUGGUUCGAUUCCGACUAGCGGCUC
rnacentral:tRNA from 1 species